rnacentral:rRNA from 1 species
GACGAACGCUGGCGGCGUGCUUAACACAUGCAAGUCGAACGGAAAGGCCCUGCUUUUGUGGGGUGCUCGAGUGGCGAACGGGUGAGUAACACGUGAGUAACCUGCCCUUGACUUUGGGAUAACUUCAGGAAACUGGGGCUAAUACCGGAUAGGAGCUCCUGCUGCAUGGUGGGGGUUGGAAAGUUUCGGCGGUUGGGGAUGGACUCGCGGCUUAUCAGCUUGUUGGUGGGGUAGUGGCUUACCAAGGCUUUGACGGGUAGCCGGCCUGAGAGGGUGACCGGCCACAUUGGGACUGAGAUACGGCCCAGACUCAGACGGGAGGCAGCAGUGGGGAAUAUUGCACAAUGGGCGGAAGCCUGAUGCAGCAACGCCGCGUGCGGGAUGACGGCCUUCGGGUUGUAAACCGCUUUCGCCUGUGACGAAGCGUGAGUGACGGUAAUGGGUAAAGAAGCACCGGCUAACUACGUG